AUAACAUAUUUGAAUCGCAUGGUUUAGAUAUUAAAACUCCGGUGGUAUAAGAUGGGCAUGCGUAGCAUUAGUUUGUUGGUGAGGUAACGGCUCACCAAGACUAUGAUGCUUAGGGGGUCUGAGAGGAUAGUCCCCCACACUGGUACUGAGACACGGACCAGACUCCUACGGGAGGCAGCAGUGAGGAAUAUUGGUCAAUGGACGAAAGUCUGAACCAGCCAUGUCGCGUGCAGGAUGACGGCCCUGUGGGUUGUAAACUGCUUUUUUUACAGGAAUAAUUGUCGCUACGUGUAGUGAUUUGAAUGUACUGUAUGAAUAAGGAUCGGCUAACUCCGUGCCAGCAGCCGCGGUAAUACGGAGGAUUCGAGCGUUAUCCGGAUUUAUUGGGUUUAAAGGGUCCGUAGGCGGUUCUUUAAGUCAGUGGUGAAAUCCCAGAGCUCAACUCUGGAACUGCCAUUGAAACUGAAGAACUUGAAUAUGGUUGAGGUAGGCGGAAUACGUUAUGUAGCGGUGAAAUGCAUAGAUAUAACGUAGAACACCAAUUGCGAAGGCAGCUUACUAAACCAUUAUUGACGCUGAUGGACGAAAGCGUGGGGAGCGAACAGGAUUAGAUACCCUGGUAGUCCACGCCGUAAACGAUGAUUACUCGUUGUGCACAAUACAUCGUGCGUGACUGAGCGAAAGCAUUAAGUAAUCCACCUGGGGAGUACGUUCGCAAGAAUGAAACUCAAAGGAAUUGACGGGGGCCCGCACAAGCGGAGGAACAUGUGGUUUAAUUCGAUGAUACGCGAGGAACCUUACCUGGACUUAAAUGUAGAUUGACCGGUUUAGAAAUAGAUCUUUCCUUCGGGACAAUUUACAAGGAGCUGCAUGGUUGUCGUCAGCACGUGCCGUGAGGUGUCGGGUUAAGUCCAUAACGAGCGCAACCCCUAUCGUUAGUUGCUAGCAGGUAAUGCUGAGGACUCUAGCGAGACUGCCACCGUAAGGUGAGAGGAAGGUGGGGAUGACGUCAAAUCAGCACGGCCCUUACGUCCAGGGCUACACACGUGUUACAAUGGCCAGUACAAAGGGCAGCUACCAGGUGACUGGAUGCUAAUCUCAAAAGCUGGUCUCAGUUCGGAUCGGAGUCUGCAACUCGACUCCGUGAAGUUGGAUUCGCUAGUAAUCGUAUAUCAGCAAUGAUACGGUGAAUACGUUCCCGGGCCUUGUACACGCCGCCCGUCAAGCCAUGGAAGCCGAGGGUGCCUGAAGUACGUUACCGUAAGGAGCGUCCUAGGGUAAAAUUGGUAACUGGGGCUAAGUC
rnacentral:rRNA from 1 species